UGCGUAGGCGGUUUUGUAAGUCUGAUGUGAAAUCUAUGGGCUCAACUCAUAGUCUGCAUCGGAAACUGCAGGGCUCGAGUGUGGGAGAGGUGAGUGGAAUUCCUGGUGUAGCGGUGAAAUGCGUAGAUAUCAGGAGGAACACCUGUGGCGAAAGCGGCUCACUGGACCACAACUGACGCUGAAGCACGAAAGCUAGGGGAGCAAACAGGAUUAGAUACCCUGGUAGUCCUAGCCCUAAACGAUGACUGCUUGGUGUGACGGGUACCCAAUCCCGCCGUGCCGGAGCUAACGCGUUAAGCAGUCCGCCUGGGGAGUACGGUCGCAAGGCUGAA
rnacentral:rRNA from 1 species